UGAUCUAUCAGGAAUCGAUUUAUCGUGUCAAGUGUAGACGCGAUAAAUCGAUCCCCGAUCACUCCGCUGUCGACUCCGGAACUCCACCAGGACGAGAGGUGGAAGCGGAGUCGACAGGGGAGCGGCGGCCGUCGAUCCCGCGCUGCGAGGACGUGAACAUCACUUAUUUUCUGCAAG